rnacentral:rRNA from 1 species
GACGAACGCUGGCGGCGUGCUUAACACAUGCAAGUCGAACGGAAAGGCCCUGCUGUUGUGGGGUGCUCGAGUGGCGAACGGGUGAGUAACACGUGAGUAACCUGCCCUUGACUUUGGGAUAACUUCAGGAAACUGGGGCUAAUACCGGAUAGGAGCUCCUGCUGCAUGGUGGGGGUUGGAAAGUUUCGGCGGUUGGGGAUGGACUCGCGGCUUAUCAGCUUGUUGGUGGGGUAGUGGCUUACGAAGGCUUUGACGGGUAGCCGGCCUGAGAGGGUGACCGGCCACAUUGGGACUGAGAUACGGCCCAGACUCAUACGGGAGGCAGCAGUGGGGAAUAUUGCACAAUGGGCGGAAGCCUGAUGCAGCAACGCCGCGUGCGGGAUGACGGCCUUCGGGUUGUAAACCGCUUUCGCCUGUGACGAAGCGUGAGUGACGGUAAUGGGUAAAGAAGCACCGGCUAACUACGUG